rnacentral:rRNA from 1 species
UCCUACGGGAGGCAGCAGUGGGGAAUAUUGGACAAUGGGCGCAAGCCUGAUCCAGCCAUGCCGCGUGAGUGAUGAAGGCCUUAGGGUUGUAAAGCUCUUUUGUCCGGGACGAUAAUGACGGUACCGGAAGAAUAAGCCCCGGCUAACUUCGUGCCAGCAGCCGCGGUAAUA